AUUGAACGCUGGCGGCAGGCCUAACACAUGCAAGUCGAACGAGUGGCGGACGGGUGAGUAAUGUCUGGGAAACUGCCUGAUGGAGGGGGAUAACUACUGGAAACGGUAGCUAAUACCGCAUACCAUCGGAUGUGCCCAGAUGGGAUUAGCUAGUAGGUGGGGUAAAGGCUCACCUAGGCGACGAUCCCUAGCUGGUCUGCUAGGAUGCCCAGUCACACUGGAACUGAGAAACGGUCCAGACUCCUGCGUGAGGCAGCAGUGGGGAAUAUUGUAGAAUGGGCGCAAGCCUGAUGCAGCAAUGCCGCGGGUAUGAAGAAGGCCUUAGGGUUGUAAAGUACUGUCAGCGGGUAGGCGUUACCCGCAGAAGAAGCAACGGCUAACUCCGUGCCAGCAGCCGCGGUAAUUC
rnacentral:rRNA from 1 species